rnacentral:rRNA from 1 species
ACGGCUCAGUAACACGUGGAUAACCUGCCCUAAGGAAGGGGAUAACCUCGGGAAACUGAGGAUAAUACCCUAUAGGAUACCGAUGCUGGAAUGCCCGGUAUCCCAAAGCUCCGGCGCCUUAGGAUGGAUCUGCGGCCGAUUAGGUCGUUGUUGGGGUAACGGCCCAACAAGCCGAUAAUCGGUACGGGUUGUGGGAGCAAGAGCCCGGAGUUGGAUUCUGAGACACGAAUCCAGGCCCUACGGGGCGCAGCAGGCGCGAAAACUUUACAAUGCGGGCAACCGUGAUAAGGGAACCUCGAGUGCCUGUACAUGCAGGCUGUCUGGGUGUCUAAAACACACCCAAAGAAAGGGCCGGGCAAGACCGGUGCCAGCCGCCGCGGUAAUACCGGCGGCUCGAGUGGUGGCCACUUUUAUUGGGCUUAAAGCGUUCGUAGCUGGGUUGUUAAGUCUCUUGGGAAAUCUGGCAGCUUAACUGUCAGGCGUCUAAGAGAUACUGGCAAUCUAGGAACCGGGAGAGGUGAGGGGUACUUCGGGGGUAGGAGUGAAAUCCUGUAAUCCUCGAGGGACCACCUGUGGCGAAGGCGCCUCACCAGAACGGCUUCGACAGUGAGGGACGAAAGCUGGGGGAGCAAACCGGAUUAGAUACCCGGGUAGUCCCAGCCGUAAACGAUGCGCGUUAGGUGUGUCGAUGACCACGAGUCAUCGAGGUGCCGAAGGGAAACCGUGAAACGCGCCGCCUGGGAAGUACGGUCGCAAGGCUGAAACUUAAAGGAAUUGGCGGGGGAG